rnacentral:lncRNA from 1 species
UUAGGAAAUGAUCAGAGGCUCACCUGAACUAUUAUCCAUCCAAAAGUGGGAUUCAAAGAAGGAAGAGGGCCUAGAAAUGAGAAAGAAGCGAAAAAUAUGUUUGUUGAAAGGUCAACAUGGGUGUUUGGAAGAGGUAAUGCUAAUGAGGUAUUCGUAAAAUUGGAGCACAAAUACUGGAUCCUGGGAUGAAUUUGGACUAAGCACCUGCAGAUUUCCUUUUCAAUUGAAAUGAGAAUUUCUGUCUGUGUUCUUCAUGCUUGUUAUACUGGAAAAAGUUUGCUUACCUGGAGUGCAAUGGCAGGCUGGAGUGCAAUGGCACCGUCUCAGCUCACUGCAACCUCCACCUCCCAGAUUCAAGCAAUUCUCCUGCCUCAGCCUCCCAAAUAGCUGGGAUUAUAGGCAUCCACCACCAUGCCUGGCAGGAUGGGCUGCAGGCAAAACUCCUCAGACACCGGCUGAAAGAGGGAAGAGGCUUUAUUUAGCUGGGAACCUUGGCAGACUUGCAUCUCAAGAACCAAGCUCCCUGAAGAAAAAAUUCCUGGCCUUUUUGAGAGGUGAAGCGAGCUGGACUUCCUGGGUUGAGUGGGGACUUGCAGAACUUUUCUGUCUAGCUAGAGGAUUGCAAACGCACCAGUCAGCACUCUGUGUCUAGCUAAAGGAUUGUAAACACACCAAUCAGCACUGUGUAAAAAUGCACCAGUCAGCGCUCUGUGUCUAGCUAAAGGACUGUAGACGCACCAAUCAGCACUCUGUAAAAAUGCACCAAUCAGCACUCUGUGUCUAGCUAAAGGAUUGUAAACGCACCAAUCAGCACUCUAUAAAAGCGCACCAAUCAGCGCACUGUGUCUAGCUAAAGGAUUGUAAACGCACCAAUCAGCAUUCUGUGUCUAGCUAAAGGAUUGUAAACGCACCAAUCAGCACUCUGUAAAAAUGCACCAAUCAGCACUUGGCAUCUAGCUAAAGGAUUGUAAGUGCACCAAUCAACACUCCGCAAAAACACACCAAUCAUCACUCUGUGUCUAACUAAGGGAUUAAAUGCACCAAUCAGAACUCUGUAAAAAUGCACCAGUCAGCACUCUGUAAAAUGGACCAAUCAGCACUCUGUAAAAUGGACCAAUCAGCAGGACAUGGGUGGGGACAAAUAAGGGAAUAAAAGCUGGCCACCCCCCAGCCAGCAGCGGCAACCUGCUCAGGUCCCUUUCCACUCUGUGGAAGCUUUGUUCUUUCGCUUUUCACAGUAAAUCUUGCUGCUGCUGACUCUUUGGGUCCACACCACCUUUAAAAGUUGUAACACUCGCUGUGAAGGUCCGCAGCUUCAUUCUCGAAGUCAGUGAGACCAAGAAUCCACCAGAGGGAACCAAGUCUGGACACACUUUUAAGGGCUUACAACUCUAUGGGGGUCUACGUGAAAGAUAUCCAGCAAGUGAUCUAUAGCUUUUACUUCCUCCUUCUCUUCAGGGACAGGAAACAGUAAGAGAAAUGGCGUAUCUCCUCAGCUUAAGAUAGUACUUGCCAGGCAGGGUGGCUCACACCUGUAAUCCCAGCACUUUGGGAGGCUGAGGUGGGUGGAUCAUGAGGACAGGAGUUCAAGACCAUCCCGACCAACAUGGUGAAAACCCCAUCUCUACUAAAAAUACAAACAUUAGGUGGGCGUGGUGGCACGCGCAUGUAAUCCCAGCUACUCAGGAGGCUGAGGCAGGAGAAUUGCUUGAACCUGGGAGGCGAAGGUUGUAGUGAGCCGAGAUCGCGGCAUUGCACUCCAGCCUGGGCAACAGAACAAGACUCCAUCCCCCCACCAAAAAAAAAGUGCUUAUCUUGUCCAUAACUUAGCAGGAGUGUUUCAAUAUUACAUCCACGCUGUUUCCAUAUUAAACAGAUUCUUUGUGGUUGAGAUAAAUAUAUUUCAUUAUGCUAACAACGUAUUUGUAUACUCCUGUUAAGAACUUACAUCAAGUAUGAAUAUGGAAUUUUUCCAAUGUCUUUGAUAGCUUUUUUAGACAUGAGUAGUUAUGUGCUGCAUGACGAUGUUUUGGUAACAAUGGACCAUGUAUACCGUGGUGGUCCCAUAAGAUUAUAAUGGAGCUGAAAAACUCCUAUCACCUAGUGCUAUCAUAGCCAUCAUAACACAAUGCAUUACUCACGUGUUUGUGAAGAUGUUGGUGUAAAGAAACCUACAGAACUGCCGGUCAUCUAAAAGUAUAGCACAUACAAUCAUGCACAGCACAUAAUGAAAGGCUUGAUAAUAAAGGGAUAUGUUAUUGGCUUAUGUAUUUACUAUCCUAUAUUUUUCAUUGUUAUUUUUGAGUGUACUCCUGCUUUGCGGUGUCUCACGCCUGUAAUUCUAUCACUUGGGGAGGCCAAAGCCGGCGGAUCACUUGAGGUCAGAAGUUUGAGCCUGACCUGGCCAACAUGGUGAAACUCCGUCUCUAUUUAAAAUACAAAAAUUAGCCAGGUAUAGUGGCGAAUGCCUGUAGUCCCAGCUACUUGGGAGGCUGUGGCAGGAGAAUCGCUUGAACCCAGGAGGUGGAGGUUGCAGUGAGCUGAGAUCACACCAUUGCACUCCAGCCUGGGCAACAGAGCAAGACUGCAUCACAAAAAAAAGGAAAGAAAGCUGUAGAAUAGCCUCAGGCAGGACCUUUAGGAGUUAUUCCAGAAGAAGGCAUGUUAUUACAGGAGAUGACAAGCUGUAGGAGUGGAAGGCAGUGAUACCGAUCAUCCUGGCCCUGUGUAGGCCUAGGCUAAUGUGUGUGUUUGUCUUAGUUUUUAGCAAAAAAUGUUUUAAAAGUAAAAACAUAAAAAAUAAAAAUUUUAAAAAACAUGAAAAAGCUUAUAAAUAUGUUUGCACAGCUAUGCAAUGUUUUCAUGUUUUAAGCUUUUAUUACAAAAAAGUUUAAAAAAUUAAACUCGAUAAAGUAAGUUACAGUAGCCAAAGGUUAAUUUAUUAUUGAAGAAAGAAAAAUUAUUGUUUAUACAUUUAGCAUAGCCUGCGUGUACAGUGUUUAUAAAGUCUAUACCCAUGCCCAGUAAUGUCCUGGGCCCUCACACUCACUCCCCACUCACUCGCUCACUCACCCAGAGCCACUUCCAGUCCUGCAAGCUCCAUCCAUGGUGAGUGCUCUGUGAAGGCGUUCGUUCUUUAUCUUUUGUACCAUAUUUUUACUGUACCUUUUCUAUGUUUAGCUAUAUUUAGAUAUACAAAUACUUAGCAUUGUAUUACAGUUGCUUACAGUAUUGAGCACAGUCACAUGUUGCACAGGUUUGUAGUCUAGGAGCAGUAGGCCAUACCUAUAGGCCAGACCAUAGAUCCUAGGUGUGUAGAAGGCUCUACCAUCUAGGUUUGCGUAGGUACAUGCUAUGAUGUUUGCACAAUGACAAAAUUGCCUGACACAUUUCUCAGAGCAUAUCUCCAUCAUUAAGUGAUA